UUUCGGAUUACUGGCUCAGGAUGAACGCUGGCGGCGUGCCUAAUACAUGCAAGUCGUACGAGGUUAAUCCAGCUUGCUGGAGAGACCUAGUGGCGAACGGGUGAGUAAUACGUAAGUAACCUGCCUGCAAGGACUGGGAUAACACCUGGAAACGGGCGCUAAUACCGGAUAGGUAACGGAGGGGCAUCCUUCUGUUAUUAAAGGUUAAAAACACAAGCAGAUGGGCUUACGGUGCAUUAGCUAGUUGGUGAGGUAACGGCCCACCAAGGCGAUGAUGCAUAGCCGGCCUGAGAGGGUGAACGGCCACAUUGGGACUGAGACACGGCCCAGACUCCUACGGGAGGCAGCAGUAGGGAAUUUUCGGCAAUGGGCGAAAGCCUGACCGAGCAACGCCCGCGUGAGUGAAGAAGAAUUUCGGUUCGUAAAGCUCUGUUGUAAGGGAAGAACAGCACGGAGAGAAUCCGUGUGUGACGGUACCUUACCAGAAAGCCACGGCUAACUACGUGCCAGCCGCCGC
rnacentral:rRNA from 1 species